UGGUAAGAAACCUGGACAAGCUCAGGCUUCAUCUGAUUUGAAAUAUUUAAAUUCAAGACUUAACCUUAGCCAGCAAAAGAACAUAGUGGUUUAUUUUUCCUCAUCUCUCAUGUAUUAUAAAAAGCAUGAAUGUUUAAAUGAUGUCUAUAGAGAUAAACUUUCUAGGUAGUGCAUUCAAAAGACUGUACAGACUAUAGAUUUCCCUCCUUAGCUAUUUGUGAAAAUUUGGAAAAUGUUUUUGCCUAAUGGGAAAACAGAAUCUAGACCACUGGGGAUGGGGGUGGGGGCUCCCACCAUGGUGUGCACUGCUUCUCUGAUGUUUUAGUGGCCAUGGAGGGGAUCUGGCUGCAGUUACAGCUCUGCUGUUGUCAUUGUCACAUCUAUUUCCGACCCAGUCUCUUCUGCUGUGUGGUGGGCUUGGCGAUUGCUCCCGCUGCAGUUCCUUUGUUAGAGAUUUGCCCUCUUGACACAUCUGAAUGAAGAAGUUGCAGUACGAAAAGAAGAUUGGUGACAGACUCUGCAAUUUCAUUCCCUGUAGUAGGUCCUGAAACCUUAUCUACAUGUCAUCUGGCUAAUCAGAGGUCCAUGGUGAGAUCUGUCAGAGAUUUCUGUUUUAAAAAAGAAAUUCAGACACAGUUGACAGGAGAAUAGGAGUGCUUCUUCGGUCCUGUACCAGCACUGUCUAUUAUGCCAGUGCAAGCCUGAGGCUGUAGUGACAGAGGAACCUCAGGGUAGCCUCCUAAGGACAUCAGCACAGGUGGGCAGAGCCCUUUCCCUCCCUCCACAACAACAGAACCAAACAAAGGACCCACCACCACAGCAAAAAGCAGGGACAAGGUAAAAAUAGAACAGCUGAACAUCAGUGUGAACACAUUUGUGAGAGAAUAUAAUGAAACUCAUGAAUCAUACAAUCAGUUAGAUAGUGUCAAAUGGGGCAACUAUAUCUUCCCAAAGGGUUGGAAGUUCAUGUCUGUAACCAAGCCAAUAAAAUCAUCAAGCAGAAAAUGCCACUUUAUUACUUAAGAAUUUAUAAAACCUUGGAAAUUUAAAAAUGUACACUAAUUUAUAAUACUUGUCUCUGGAAAAGCAAC
rnacentral:lncRNA from 1 species